GGCGAGGUGCCGGAGUGGUUAUCGGGAACGCCUAGAAAGCGUUUGGUCUCUGACCGCACAGGUUCGAAUCCUGUUCUCGUCG
rnacentral:tRNA from 1 species